GCGGCGGACGGGUGAGUAACACGUGGGUAACCUGCCUGUAAGACUGGGAUAACUCCGGGAAACCGGGGCUAAUACCGGAUGGUUGUUUGAACCGCAUGGUUCAAACAUAAAAGGUGGCUUCGGCUACCACUUACAGAUGGACCCGCGGCGCAUUAGCUAGUUGGUGAGGUAACGGCUCACCAAGGCAACGAUGCGUAGCCGACCUGAGAGGGUGAUCGGCCACACUGGGACUGAGACACGGCCCAGACUCCUACGGGAGGCAGCAGUAGGGAAUCUUCCGCAAUGGACGAAAGUCUGACGGAGCAACGCCGCGUGAGUGAUGAAGGUUUUCGGAUCGUAAAGCUCUGUUGUUAGGGAAGAACAAGUACCGUUCGAAUAGGGCGGUACCUUGACGGUACCUAACCAGAAAGCCACGGCUAACUACGUGCCAGCAGCCGCGGUAAUACGUAGGUGGCAAGCGUUGUCCGGAAUUAUUGGGCGUAAAGGGCUCGCAGGCGGUUUCUUAAGUCUGAUGUGAAAGCCCCCGGCUCAACCGGGGAGGGUCAUUGGAAACUGGGGAACUUGAGUGCAGAAGAGGAGAGUGGAAUUCCACGUGUAGCGGUGAAAUGCGUAGAGAUGUGGAGGAACACCAGUGGCGAAGGCGACUCUCUGGUCUGUAACUGACGCUGAGGAGCGAAAGCGUGGGGAGCGAACAGGAUUAGAUACCCUGGUAGUCCACGCCGUAA
rnacentral:rRNA from 1 species